UACAGAGGGUGCAAGCGUUGUUCGGAAUUAUUGGGCGUAAAGGGCGUGUAGGCGGUCUGCUAAGUCAUGUGUGAAAUCCCUCGGCUUAACCGAGGAACGACGCAUGAAACUGGCAAGCUAGAGUACCAAAGAGGGGGGUGGAAUUCCCGGUGUAGCGGUGAAAUGCGUAGAGAUGCGGAGGAACACCGAUGGCGAAGGCAGCCCCCUGGGCCGACACUGACGCUCAGGCACGAAAGCGUGGGGAGCAAACAGG
rnacentral:rRNA from 1 species